rnacentral:rRNA from 1 species
AUAUUGCCCGACCGGUACAAGCGGGGUAGGUGUACAACAGGCAAAUCCGUUGUAUAAUCCGAAGACGUGAUGUGGAGCGAAAUAAAGUAGUGAAGCGUGUGAGCCAUGUGCCGAGAAAAGCUGCUAUUGCGUAAUGCGUGCCCGUACCGUAAACCGACACAGGUGGAUGAGGAGAGAAUCCUAAGGCCGACGGAAGAAGCAUUGUUAAGGAAUUCGGCAAAAUGACCCCGUAACUUCGGGAGAAGGGGUGCCUGCGAGAGCAGGCCGCAGAGAAUAGGCUCAAGCAACUGUUUAGCAAAAACACAGGUCUAUGCGAAACCGAAAGGUGAAGUAUAUGGGCUGACGCCUGCCCGGUGCUGGAAGGUUAAGAGGAGAGGUUAGCGUAAGCGAAGCUUUGAAUUUAAGCCCCAGUAAACGGCGGCCGUAACGAUAACGGUCCUAAGGUAGCGAAAUUCCUUGUCGGGUAAGUUCCGACCCGCACGAAAGGUGUAAUGAUUUGAGCACUGUCUCGACAAUGCAUCCGGUGAAAUUGAAGUACCAGUGAAGAUGCUGGUUACCCGCGCCAGGACGGAAAGACCCCAUGGAGCUUUACUCCAGUUUGAUACUGGGAUUCGGUACUGCAUGUACAGGAUAGGUGGGAGACAAAGAAGGAUGGACGCCAGUCUGUCCGGAGUCGCUGUUGGGAUACCACCCCUGUAGUACUGGGUUUCUAACCAGUUGCCAUGAACUGGCAAUGGGACAAUGUCAGGCGGGGAGUUUGACUGGGGCGGUCGCCUCCGAAAGGGUAUCGGAGGCGCUCAAAGGUUCCCUCAGAAUGGUUGGAGACCAUUUGAAGAGUGCAAAGGCAGAAGGGAGCUUGACUGCGACACCGACGGGUGGAGCAGGUACGAAAGUAGGACUUAGUGAUCCGGUGGUAUAAAGUGGGAUUGCCAUCGCUCAACGGAUAAAAGCUACCCUGGGAUAACAGGCUUAUCACUCCCAAGAGUUCACAUCGACGGAGUGGUUUGGCACCUCGAUGUCGGCUCAUCGCAUCCUGGGGCUGUAGCAGGUCCCAAGGGUUGGGCUGUUCGCCCAUUAAAGCGGUACGCGAGCUGGGUUCAGAACGUCGUGAGACAGUUCGGUCCCUAUCCGGCGCGGGCGGAGGAUAUUUGAGAGGAGCUGUCCUUAGUACGAGAGGACCGGGAUGGACGGACCACUGGUGUAUCUGUUGUCGACCAACGGCAUGGCAGAGUAGCCAAGUCUGGAAGGGAUAAACGCUGAAGGCAUCUAAGCGUGAAGCCCCCCUCAAGAUGAGAUAUCCCUCCUACGGGAGUAAGACCCCUUGAAGACUACAAGGUAGAUAGGGCAGAGGUGGAAGCAUGGCAACAUGUGGAGCUGACUGUUACUAAUAGGUCGAGGGCUUAAUGAA